rnacentral:lncRNA from 10 species
GGCCAUUGCUGUGCGCGCGCGCGCGGGCAUGUGCAUGGUUCAGGGAAGAGGCUGCAUUUCACAGAGACUCUGUCCCAGGAGGCUGGAGUGCAGUGGCGUGAUCUCGGCUUAUUGUAACCUCCACCUCCCAGGUUCAAGCAAUUCUCGUGCCUCAGCCUCCUGAGUACCUGGGACUAGGGGUACGCACCACCACGCCCAGCUAAUUUUUGUAUUUUUAGUAGAGAUGGGGUUUCACCAUGAUGGCCAGGCUGAUUUCGAACUCCUGGCCUUAAGUGAGCCUCCUGCCUCGUUCUCCCAAAGUGCUGGGAUUACAGGCGUGAGCCACCAUGCCCAGCCGGCAUUUUCAUCUGGACUCUGCCAUGGGGCUCAGCAAAUCAGAUGUGACCUGGUGACAGGUGCCAAGAAGGUCUGGCGACCACAGGUUUCUUGUCGGUUUCUGCCUGGGACCCCCGCACCUCCCUACCAGUAUUCCCAACCCAACGAAAGACCGGCCAAGUACAAACCAAGGGCAGCCCUGAAGCCCAGGACCAUGAGGCCUGGAAGGCCCCAGGACAGGUGAUUUGUGGCCCUGGUGUCUCAGGUCAGGAGCAGGGCAGAGCCACCUUCCUCCCUCCCUGUGCGGGGCUGCAUGAGCUCAGGGACCUUUGGACCUGAGAAAGGUCAGGCUCACUUCCUCCCCGUGCCUGCGGUUGGCCGCAGGGGGAAUAUUCUCCUGACCCGAGUCCCGAAGCCCUGGGCGUGGAGUUUCCCUGGACUGGGAGAAAGUAAACACCGAGGGACUUGCCAAGAGGAAAUGGAGAAGCCCAGGUGUUCUGGGCGGAGCUGAGUGUCCCGCAGGGGGUUCCGCAGCUCCUC